GCUCCCUUCGGGGAGUGCAUAAAGUGGCGCACGGGUGAGUAACACGUAAGUAAUCUACCUUCGAGUGGGGAAUAACCCGGGGAAACCCGAGCUAAUACCGCAUAACGCAGCGGCAUCGCAAGAUGACAGUUGUUAAAGGAGCAAUCCGCUUGAAGAGGAGCUUGCGGCAGAUUAGCUAGUUGGUAAGGUAAUGGCUUACCAAGGCUACGAUCUGUAUCCGGUCUAAGAGGACGGUCGGACACACUGACACUGAAUAACGGGUCAGACUCCUACGGGAGGCAGCAGUCGGGAAUUUUGGGCAAUGGGGGAAACCCUGACCCAGCAACGCCGCGUGAAGGAUGAAGUAUUUCGGUAUGUAAACUUCGAAAGAAUGGGAAGAAUAAAUGACGGUACCAUUUAUAAGCUCCGGCUAACUACGUGCCAGCAGCCGCGGUAAUACGUAGGGAGCAAGCGUUGUUCGGAUUUACUGGGCGUAAAGGGCGCGUAGGCGGCGCGGUAAGUCACUUGUGAAAUCUCUGAGCUUAACUCA
rnacentral:rRNA from 1 species